ensembl:lncRNA
GUCAGGUGUCAUGGGGUCAUGGAUGCUGGUUCUGUGUACCACAGUCACUCUGAUGCCUGUGUGUCUUCAUGGAGCAAUAUCAGUCCGCUUUAAGACCGGACGGCCUCUCUAUGUGGCACUCGGCCGAACUCUUGUUUUGGAAGUCGAAUUCAAGAAGGACUCGGACGACAAAAUAGACAUGGUGACGUGGGACCGCGAGAGAGGAAAUGUCACUGUCAGACUGUCACAUGGAAACAGAAUAUCUUUGGAGAAUGGAGAUGCACUUCUGCGGGUCACUGAUGUUGCAGAAGGGGACCUUGCGAUCUACAAAGUCACCGUUACAGACAGUAACGGAUACCAGCAGCACGACUCCAUAGAAGUACGAAAGACAGUGGAAUCUCCAAAGGCGUCAAUUACACGUGUGCUGGAGUGUGUUGUGGAUAAUCAUGGCAUGACUCAGUGGGACAGCCCUCAGUUUUCAUGGCUGGUUGAUGGUGUUACAGUAACCAAUCAAUCCGCCCUGUUAACUAAUGGCAGUAGACUAGAUAUCUCUGGGAUUAAGGGUGUUAACUACACCUGCAUCAUCAACAGCAGCCUGGGGACACUCACAACACAUUAUGAAAUGCCAAAAGAGGCAUAUGGAAGCACAAACAGGAGCACAACUGCUGUCGUAGUGUUUCUGCUGCUGAUACUGAUGCUUGCAGCUGCAUCUCUGGCCUUUAUACUGCGGAGGAGACACAGGUGUGGAUGUAACAGAAGAGAGAGACUGAGAGAGCCGUGUGAAGAGUCUCUGUGA